CUGAGAGCGAGGAGGAGCAGUGCCCGUGGAUGGCAGAGCAGACCUCGCCUGGGCCAGGUCUGGGCUCUGCUGCCACAACCCAACCUUCCGCCAGCGGCAGCUCCAGAUAAAGAAUGCAGAGUAUGUGCUUCGGUGUCACAAACUGUGCCUGGCCACCAUCCAUCAUCCUGUCAAGACAUCACUCCAGACAGCCUGGCUUCAAGCAGAACCAGAUCCAGGAGCCAGCUGAGGCCAGCACAGUUCUCUCCCCUGUGAAUGUGACAAUUGGCCUGGGUCCUGAUUCCCCACAUCCUGCUGCCUAACGUGAUGCACCCAUCAUCUCCAACCAAGAGACAGGGAUCAGAGAGUCAACAUGUCAGCAAACUACAACUCACCCGCAUGCAAGCCAGCUGUCCAAUGGGAAUUCUUCUGAUGGAGCGAUGGGGUGGACUGAGGUUUUAUACUUGCUUCCUCCAGUGAUGCAGAGCACUAUUUCCAAACCCAAGUAGUCCUCUGGCUCCCAAAAUGAGGGAAAAGAGAGGAGGAGAAGGAGGAGCUAAGCUGCACCCAUUGUCAGUGAGCACAGGUGCAGGAGAGAGGGGGUGCCAGACACAUCUCCACCUCCAUCCCUGGAUCUGUGAUUGACAGGUACUCGUAUAAUUCAUACAGGCCAAAGGGGACGAGGCAGGCAGAAUAACAGCCCCCUAAAGACACUCAUGUUCUAAUCCCUAGAACCUGUGAAUGUUAACCUUAUAUGGCAAGAAAAGGAUUUUAUAGAUGUGAUUAAGUUUAAGUUCUAAAAAUGGAGAGGUUAUCCCGGAUUAUCUGAGUGGGCCCCAUCUGCAAUCACGAGACCGAGGCAGAGGCAGAUCUGACCCUAGACAGAAGAGGAGAAUGCAGCAGCGCCCGCAGAGGCAGAGGCUGGAAUGGAGCAGCCCCAAGGCAAAGCAUGCUGGCCACCAUCAGAAGCCAGAGUACGUGAGGCACAGACGCUUCCCUGGAGCCUCCAGGGGAGCACAGCCCUGCUGAUACCUUGAUUUGGGCAUUAAGACUUAUUUUGGACUUUCGGCCUCUAGAACUGUGACAGAAUAUGUUUCUGUUUUUUACACACUUUGUGUGUAAGACUGUGUUACCGCAGUUGCAGGAAACUCACACCAGGGACUAGAGCAGCUCUGUGGUGACUGCUGGCGCUGGCAGAUCUGUCCAAGCGGACCAGGCCCUGGUUCCAGAAGUGAGGCCCUCAUGCAGAGGAGAGGACUGCACACCUGGAAGGGAGGUGGUGAUUAGGUAAUGAACAAUUCUUCCAUUCCUGUACCAAUUGAACAAGGCAGUCCCCUCUCUCCUAUUCACCCUCAUCCAGCCUCCUCCCCACCAACCCCAUCUACCUCCCUAGAGGGCACUUGCAUU